UGAGGAAUCUUGCGCAAUGGGGGAAACCCUGACGCAGCAACGCCGCGUGAGUGAGGAAGGCCUUCGGGUCGUAAAGCUCUGUCAGAUGGAAAGAAAUGCAUGGGGGUUAACAGCCUUCAUGCUUGACGGUACCAUCAGAGGAAGCACCGGCUAACUCCGUGCCAGCAGCCGCGGUAAUACGGGGGGUGCAAGCGUUGUUCGGAAUCAUUGGGCGUAAAGAGCGUGUAGGCGGCUUGAUAAGUCAGAUGUGAAAGCCCUGGGCUCAACCUGGGAAGUGCAUUUGAAACUGUCAUGCUUGAGUAGGGGAGAGGGAAGUGGAAUUCCUGGUGUAGAGGUGAAAUUCGUAGAUAUCAGGAGGAACACCGGUGGCGAAGGCGACUUCCUGGCCCUAUACUGACGCUGAGACGCGAGAGCGUGGGUAGCAAACAGG
rnacentral:rRNA from 1 species